rnacentral:rRNA from 1 species
AUUAGCAGUGAGGAAUAUUGCGCAAUGGGGGAAACCCUGACGCAGCGACGCCGCGUGGGUGAGGAAGGCUUUCGGGUCGUAAAGCCCUGUCAGAAGGGAAGAAGUGCUUAUGGGUUAAUAUCCUGUAAGUUUGACGGUACCUUCAAAGGAAGCACCGGCUAACUCCGUGCCAGCAGCCGCGGUAAUACGGAGGGUGCAAGCGUUGUUCGGAAUCACUGGGCGUAAAGGGAGCGCAGGCUGUUUUGCAAGUCAGAUGUGAAAGCCCACGGCUUAACCGUGGAAGUGCAUUUGAAACUGCAAGACUUGAGUAUCAGAGGGGAAAGUGGAAUUCCCGGUGUAGAGGUGAAAUUCGUAGAUAUCGGGAGGAAUACCGGUGGCGAAGGCGACUUUCUGGCUGAAUACUGACGCUGAGGCUCGAAAGCGUGGGGAGCAAACAGGAUUAGAUACCCUGGUAGUCCACGCCGUAAACGAUGUCAACUAGCCGUCGGACUCAUUUAAGAGCUUGGUGGCGCAGCUAACGCGAUAAGUUGACCGCCUGGGGAGUACGGCCGCAAGGUUAAAACUCAAAGGAAUUGACGGA